rnacentral:rRNA from 1 species
GGAUUGCCUUAGUAACGGCGAGUGAAGCGGCAACAGCUCAAAUUUGAAAUCUGGCCCUUGGGUCCGAAUUGUAAUUUGUAGAGGAUGAUUUUGGUGCGGUAUCUUCCGAGUUCCUUGGAACAGGACGCCUUAGAGGGUGAGAGCCCCGUACGGUUGAAUGCCUAGCCUCUGUAAAUCUCCUUCGACGAGUCGAGUAGUUUGGGAAUGCUGCUCUAAAUGGGAGGUAAAUUUCUUCUAAAGCUAAAUAUUGGCCAGAGACCGAUAGCGCACAAGUAGAGUGAUCGAAAGAUGAAAAGCACUUUGAAAAGAGGGUUAAAUAGCACGUGAAAUUGUUGAAAGGGAAGGAUUUGUGACCAGACUUUUUCUGGGCGGAUCAUCCGGGGUUCUCUCCGGUGCACUUCGCCCAGUAAAGGCCAGCAUCGGUUUUCGGCGUGGGAUAAAAGCAGUAGGAAUGUGGCUCUCUACGGGGAGUGUUAUAGCCUAUUGUAUAAUACCGCGCUGGGGACCGAGGUUCGCGCUUCUGCAAGGAUGCUGGCGUAAUGGUUAUCAAUCACCCGUCUUGAAACACGGACCAAGGAGUCGAACAUUUGUGCGAGUGUUUGGGUGUUAAACCCUCACGCGUAAUGAAAGUGAACGGAGGUGAGAGCCCUUACGGGUGCAUCAUCGACCGAUCCUGAAGUUUUCGGAUGGAUUUGAGUAAGAGCAUAACUGUUCGGACCCGAAAGAUGGUGAACUAUGCGUGGAUAGGGUGAAGCCAGAGGAAACUCUGGUGGAGGCUCGCAGCGGUUCUGACGUGCAAAUCGAUCGUCAAAUCUGCGCAUGGGGGCGAAAGACUAAUCGA